UCCCCGUUAUCCUGGGCAGUCCCUCCAGAGUUCCCGGCAUAACCCGCUGGCUACCCUUGCGGGUUCAUCCCCGUUUCCGGUUCUUACCACCAGCAUGUCAAACCUGGGUAAGGUUCUUCGCGUUGCGUCGAAUUAAACCACAUGCACCACCGCUUGUGCGGGCCCCCGUCAAUUCCUUUGAGUUUCAACCUUGCGGCCGUACUCCCCAGGCGGGGAACUUACUCCGUUAGGUGCGGCACCGGCGGUAACCCGCCGACACUUAGUUCCCAUCGUUUAGGGCGUGGACUAC
rnacentral:misc_RNA from 1 species